GGCUGGUUAGCUCAGUUGGUUAGAGUGUGGUACUAAUAAUGCCAAGGUCAUGGGUUCGAUCCCCAUAUGGGCCA